rnacentral:rRNA from 1 species
CACGAAGGUUUCGGCCUUAGUGGCGGACGGGUGAGUAACGCGUAGGUAUCUAUCCAUGGGUGGGGGAUAACACUGGGAAACUGGUGCUAAUACCGCAUGACACCUGAGGGUCAAAGGCGUAAGUCGCCUGUGGAGGAGCCUGCGUUUGAUUAGCUAGUUGGUGGGGUAAAGGCCUACCAAGGCGAUGAUCAAUAGCUGGUUUGAGAGGAUGAUCAGCCACACUGGGACUGAGACACGGCCCAGACUCCUACGGGAGGCAGCAGUGGGGAAUAUUGGACAAUGGGGGCAACCCUGAUCCAGCAAUGCCGCGUGUGUGAAGAAGGUCUUCGGAUUGUAAAGCACUUUCGACGGGGACGAUGAUGACGGUACCCGUAGAAGAAGCCCCGGCUAACUUCGUGCCAGCAGCCGCGGUAAUACGAAGGGGGCUAGCGUUGCUCGGAAUGACUGGGCGUAAAGGGCGUGUAGGCGGUUUGUACAGUCAGAUGUGAAAUCCCCGGGCUUAACCUGGGAGCUGCAUUUGAUACGUGCAGACUAGAGUGUGAGAGAGGGUUGUGGAAUUCCCAGUGUAGAGGUGAAAUUCGUAGAUAUUGGGAAGAACACCGGUGGCGAAGGCGGCAACCUGGCUCAUUACUGACGCUGAGGCGCGAAAGCGUGGGGAGCAAACAGGAUUAGAUAC